UUCUCAAGAAUGUUUGACAAU
ensembl:piRNA 21ur-6379 ncRNA